CAGAGGUUGAAUUCACUCUGGGCUGCGUCCACAGGCACAGCCGCUUUGAGCAUUUUCACUGAAUUGCCAAACCAGUUGUGCCUGUAGACACUACCCUCACCUGCGACUCAAGGCUUC
rnacentral:precursor_RNA from 12 species